rnacentral:piRNA from 1 species
UCUGAGAGCACAGGGAAUCCAGACCCC